rnacentral:rRNA from 2 species
GAUGAACGCGGGGGCGUGCUUAAUCAUGCAAGUCGAACGAUUUGAUUAUUGAAAGGUGCUUGCAUCUUGAUUUAAUUUUGAACGAGUGGCGGACGGGUGAGUAACACGUGGGUAACCUGCCCUUAAGUGGGGGAUAACAUUUGGAAACAGAUGCUAAUACCGCAUAAAUCCAAGAACCGCAUGGUUCUUGGCUGAAAGAUGGCGUAAGCUAUCGCUUUGGGAUGGACCCGCGGCGUAUUAGCUAGUUGGUGAGGUAACGGCUCACCAAGGCAAUGAUACGUAGCCGAACUGAGAGGUUGAUCGGCCACAUUGGGACUGAGACACGGCCCAAACUCCUACGGGAGGCAGCAGUAGGGAAUCUUCCACAAUGGACGCAAGUCUGAUGGAGCAACGCCGCGUGAGUGAAGAAGGCUUUCGGGUCGUAAAACUCUGUUGUUGGAGAAGAAUGGUCGGCAGAGUAACUGU